rnacentral:rRNA from 1 species
UACGGGGGGGGGCAAGCGUUGUUCGGAAUUACUGGGCGUAAAGGGCUCGUAGGCGGCCAACUAAGUCAGACGUGAAAUCCCUCGGCUUAACCGGGGAACUGCGUCUGAUACUGGAUGGCUUGAGUUUGGGAGAGGGAUGCGGAAUUCCAGGUGUAGCGGUGAAAUGCGUAGAUAUCUGGAGGAACACCGGUGGCGAAGGCGGCAUCCUGGACCAACACUGACGCUGAGGAGCGAAAGUGUGGGGAGCGAACAGG